GAUGAACGCUGGCGGCGUGCCUAAUACAUGCAAGUCGAGCGAACGGACGAGAAGCUUGCUUCUCUGAUGUUAGCGGCGGACGGGUGAGUAACACGUGGAUAACCUACCCAUAAGACUGGGAUAACUUCGGGAAACCGGAGCUAAUACCGGAUAAUAUUUUGAACCGCAUGGUUCAAAAGUGAAAGACGGUCUUGCUGUCACUUAUAGAUGGAUCCGCGCUGCAUUAGCUAGUUAGUAAGGUAACGGCUUACCAAGGCAACGAUGCAUAGCCGACCUGAGAGGGUGAUCGGCCACACUGGAACUGAGACACGGUCCAGACUCCUACGGGAGGCAGCAGUAGGGAAUCUUCCGCAAUGGGCGAAAGCCUGACGGAGCAACGCCGCGUGAGUGAUGAAGGUCUUCGGAUCGUAAAACUCUGUUAUUAGGGAAGAACAUAUGUGUAAGUAACUGUGCACAUCUUGACGGUACCUAAUCAGAAAGCCACGGCUAACUACGUG
rnacentral:rRNA from 1 species